rnacentral:tRNA from 1 species
AAAUUUAGGUUAAUCAUAAACCAAGGGCCUUCAAAGCCCUAAAUAGGCCCCCCCUAAUUUCUG